CGCGGGGUGGAGCAGUCUGGUAGCUCGUCGGGCUCAUAACCCGAAGGUCAUAGGUUCAAAUCCUGUCCCCGCUACAA
rnacentral:tRNA from 1 species